CGUGAGGCUGCGCCAAUCUUAAAAAGUUAGUCUCAGUUCGGAUUGUUCUCUGCAACUCGAGAACAUGAAGUUGGAAUCGCUAGUAAUCGCGGAACAGCAUGCCGCGGUGAAUACGUUCCCGGGUCUUGUACACACCGCCCGUCACGCCAUGGGAGUUGGUUCUGCCUGACGGCGUUGAGGUAACCUGAGCAAUCAGGAGCCUGGCGACCACGGUAGGGUCAGCGACUGGGGCGAAGUCGUAACAAGGUAGC
rnacentral:rRNA from 1 species